AAAUAUUGGAGACAACAAAUGGAAAACAUCAGUGCAUCUGGACACCCUCCAACCUCAACUGAUGAGGAGCAUGGAGUAGAAGCUCAAGGUACUGAGAGAAAUCCUCAGACAAAUCCUAUGCCUUCUCCUCCUGUUGUUCCUACAAAGAAGAGGAAAGAGGUGGAGUCUAGGU